GAUGAACGCUGGCGGCGUGCCUAAUACAUGCAAGUCGAGCGAACGGACGAGAAGCUUGCUUCUCUGAUGUUAGCGGCGGACGGGUGAGUAACACGUGGAUAACCUACCUAUAAGACUGGGAUAACUUCGGGAAACCGGAGCUAAUACCGGAUAAUAUUUUGAACCGCAUGGUUCAAUAGUGAAAGACGGUUUUGCUGUCACUUAUAGAUGGAUCCGCGCCGCAUUAGCUAGUUGGUAAGGUAACGGCUUACCAAGGCAACGAUGCAUAGCCGACCUGAGAGGGUGAUCGGCCACACUGGAACUGAGACACGGUCCAGACUCCUACGGGAGGCAGCAGUAGGGAAUCUUCCGCAAUGGGCGAAAGCCUGACGGAGCAACGCCGCGUGAGUGAUGAAGGUCUUCGGAUCGUAAAACUCUGUUAUUAGGGAAGAACAAAUGUGUAAGUAACUAUGCACAUCUUGACGGUACCUAAUCAGAAAGCCACGGCUAACUACGUG
rnacentral:rRNA from 1 species